GAUGAAGAACGUAGCGAAAUGCGAUAAGUAAUGUGAAUUGCAGAAUUCAGUGAAUCAUCGAAUCUUUGAACGCACCUUGCGCCCUUUGGCUAUUCCGAAGGGCAUGCCUGUUUGAGUAUCAUGAACACCUCAACUCUCAUGGCUUGCCAUGAAGAGCUUGGACUAUGGGGGUCUUGCUGGCCUGUGGUCGGCUCCUCUCAAAUGAAUCAGCUUGCCGGUGUUUGGUGGCGUCACAGGUGUGAUAACUAUCUACACUUGUGGUGUUUUCCACCAGGUAACCUUCAGCAAUGGAGGUUCGCUGGGGCUCAUAAAAGUCUCUCCUCGGUGAGGACAGCUCUUUUUGAACGUUUGAUCUCACAUCAGGUAGGACUACCCGCUGAACUUAAGCAUAUCAAUAAGCGGAGGA
rnacentral:misc_RNA from 1 species